CCAGUUCAGAAGUUCAUAUACGUUGUCCUGCAUUACUUCCUUGCUCUUUAUACGGAUCAUCUCCUGGAGAUGGGAGGAAGAAAAGUUUUUCAUUAACAUCGAGGGGUAUGAAAUUGAGUUUCCAGCGAUUCACCGCGAGGCUCUGCGCGGUGUGCUAACCGUUCUCCUGCAGCUAUUGCCGGGCAAAUCUCCGUGACGUCGCGGCUGGAACUGGACUGAAUAUCCGUCGAAUAUCCAACCUAAAACUAACUUCACCGCGGUGGGUUGUGGACUAAAUAAAUAUAUAUGUCAUGAAGAUUGAUUUGAGGCAAGCAAACUAAUGGACAAAAAAAUAACUGGGGAUAACAAAUAAGGAUCGGAGCCUAAAAUCGAUAAUAUCUCUGUCUCUGUCUAACAUUCAGAUGAGUGGUG